UCUGUACUCUUGGAAAAGAGAAGAUGAGUUAGGGUUUUUCUUUUGUUGAAGCUCCCAGGCCUAAAUUUUGGCCUUUAACUGCACAGCCAUGUGGGAGUGGAGACUUCCUGUGGGGGUCUUUAAGAAAGCUUGCCCUUAUUUGCAUUGGGGAGGGAGCCUGGAGACUCAAAGGCUGUGGAACUAUUUAUUGGGGGGGGGUUGAACUGAUUUAUAUUCCCUGCUGGAAGAGAGAAGACUUCAUGAAAGGUACUGCUUGAGAGCUACACCCAUGCCCCAGGAAACCAUGAACAAGGUUUUGAACCUGUAUCUACCAGGACAUAGUGCCACUAAUGAAACCAAGAAUCUAGGACUCCAAUUGUCUGCUGACUAUGGACCCAGUUCAUCAAGUACUGCUUGGCUUGGAGCAGACUACACAGGUGGAAGGAGGAGUGAAAUGGAGCAGGAAAGUGAAAUUAACAAGCUCUGAAGUGUUUGGGAAUGUGCUAAUUUCAGUCUGUGGCUCCAGCUGAGCAGCAGGGCAUCAGAAUGGAACACAAAGUGUCAGUACAUUGCAUUGAUGUGUAGCAGCCAAAAGUGCACCCUGAGGAAAUUGAAGACAUAAUGUCAAUGGAAUAGAAUAUAACAAAACAAUGUGCUCCUCGUGGUACAUAUGUAAAUAAGGAAGAAACAAGGUAUUUGAGUAAGAGUGGUGUAGCGGUCACAUUUAUUUCUAUUGGCAGUAUUUUAAUUUAUACUGACUGACUCAAGAACAAUGAAACCAUCUUACAAAACCACUCAAGUGAGUUACAAAAAUCUUCAGGGCAAAGAUUGUUUUUUGCUUUUGUGUAGUGCAUUGCCAAGCUCUCUGACAACAUUUAACAGUUAAAUACAAAUAAUUCUUGCUGGAUGUGGUCCUUUAUUAAAGGUGGAGCAGAGUUGGACCCGGUACAUUUGGGGAAUAUUUUGGAACAAUAUUUUUCAACCAGAAGGUGCAGAUUUAAUUGCUUUAUUUGACCAAGGUUUCAGUAAAUAGUUGCUCAUUGUGUCCUCCUGAUUUAUACCUCAUUUGAUUUAGAGAUUAAACCUACCAAUAUUAAACUUCAUCUAAUCACAGAGCAAUCUGUACAUAAAGUUUCAGAUUUUUAGAAAAUAUACAGCACCAUUGUGAAUAAACUAACUUUUGACAGGACAAAAGUCUAUUUUUUACUUCUAUCAGUGAAAAAUGGAUAGUAAUCUGAUUUAUGUCAAAUGCACUCUGUGCCAGAUAAUUUACAACCAAUACAUAUUAAAUAAAAAUAUGCUAGACACAAGGUACCUGAAACUGUUCAAUUGCUAUAAGAAAUGUAUGUAGUUUGUGGAAACAGUGAUGUCUGAUCAUCCCUAUUUAGCAGGCACUAGUUGAAAGAAUCCAUGAAUUUAUUGAUAGGCUUUUCUAUGGCUUUCAUCUCAGUAGUCUAGAGUACAUUGCAAAUAUUAAUUGAAACUUACAACAUAGCUGUGAGGUAGUGAAGUAUUAAAAUGCCCGGUUAGUGGUCGGGAAAACCUGAGGCAAUGAGAGGUUAAGUGACAUGUCCUAGGUCACAAAGAAAGUCUGUAGCAGAGGUGGGAAUAGAUUCCAGGUCACCUGAUUACCCGAUCCAAGAACUUAACUACAAGACCAUUCUCCCUCUAAUUCAAGCCUACCUAAAAUACCAUAAGCAUAUGCUGUAAACUUAUGUCCACAUGAAUUCCAUUGUUA